CUAGAACUUUAUGUUUUAUUGAUCAGCAUAAAUUGCAUCCUUACUAAUUACAUUCCACGCUCAUACAAUUAUUUAUCAGUCCAACACAACAUUAAUGUUUAAAUUUAUAUACAUAAUUCUCUUAAAUAAUUAUUAAAAUAUUGCCAGACAAACUUUCAAACCAAGCAAGAAUUCACGAAAAAACAACAUUUUCUAUAGUGGGCUUCAGUGCAAAAGCUUUGUUGAGCAAUAAAAUUAAACUUACGCCCGUAUUCUAAAAACUCACUCACACUCAAUAAGUGGAGGUUCAAUCUUUUCUUGAGUGUCAAUGCUGUUUUUGAAUAGCUGGAGGGUGAGUAGUCACAUAGUAAUUAGG
rnacentral:lncRNA from 1 species